UCACUAUCGCAUUCAGCGCCGCUUGA
rnacentral:piRNA from 1 species